rnacentral:rRNA from 1 species
CAGUAGCCGCGGUAAUGCGUAGGUGGCAAGCGUUGUCCGGAGUUAUUGGGCGUAAAGGGCUCGCAGGCGGUUUCUUAAGUCUGACGUGAAAGCCCCCGGCUCAACCGGGGAGGGUCAUUGGAAACUGGGAAACUUGAGUGCAGAAGAGGAGAGUGGAAUUCCACGUGUAGCGGUGAAAUGCGUAGAGAUGUGGAGGAACACCAGUGGCGAAGGCGACUCUCUGGUCUGUAACUGACGCUGAGGAGCGAAAGCGUGGGGAGCGAACAGGAUUAGAUACCCCGGUAGUCCCUGUCUCUUAUAC